rnacentral:rRNA from 1 species
UACGGAGGGUGCAAGCGUUGUCCGGAAUCACUGGGCGUAAAGGGCGCGUAGGCGGCUCAUGAAGGCUGUGGUGAAAGUCCGGGGCUCAACCUCGGAUCGGCCGUGGCGACUCGUGGGCUGGAGCACUGUAGAGGCGGGUGGAAUUCCGAGUUGUAGAGGUGAAAUUCGUAGAUAUUCGGAAGAACACCAGUGGCGAAGGCGACUUACUGGACACAUAUUGACGCUGAGGUGCGAAAGCGUGGGGAGCAACUAGGAUUAAGAAACCCCGAUGUACCGUCGCGAAGCCAAACGACUCUGCUACCGUA